GGAGGCGAAAACAACUGUACAGUCUCUGCUUUGAUAAGGAAACUGCCAGCUGCAGAAGUUCAGCGGCAAAGGGAGGACUGCAGCCGCAUGAACCAAGCGCUCCUGAACUUAAACUGCAUUGCUUUCUGUCCAGAUAUUCCAGUGGAGGCAGUUGGAAAACCUGUAUUUCAGAGAAAAGAAGUUUUCCGUGGAAGUUCAUGACCCACGCAGGGAGAGGAUGGGUGAUCGUGGAGAACAGUUGAAAUCAGACAGUAAAGCUUUGUUUUGUUCUAUGUAUGUCGAUAAAUGCGGUGGGUUCAA